UACACAAACUCAGUGAUAGAAUAUUCCAAGAGUUUUAAUGUAUUGUGAUGGCACCCUAUAAUUUUAUUUUCUUAUAUAUAUAGCUUUUAAAAUUUUGUUGAGUUGUUGGUUUUUACUUUAAAAUGAUACAAUUGAAAUGAAAUAAAGCAUCAAAGAAUAUUAUCUAUAUUUGCCUUGAUAAUAAUUAUACAAGUGAUAAUUAUCUAAAGAUGGAAAAAACAUAUUGUAUUAUGAACUGGCAGAACUAGAUAAUUCCUCUGGUGGAUCUAUUGUAGCUGGUAAUGAUGAUAGAUGUAACCUAGAAUAAAAAGAUGGUUAACCAUACAAAAUGAAUCAGCCGAAUAUUUAAACUUUUUGAGACUAUUCACCUCACAAAUGUCUUGGCAAAACGAACAAGAUAAUAACUAAUAACUGUGUUACACUAGUGAUUUUAAUUAUUUUAUAAUAUGAUAUGGUAUAAGGUGUUGAUUGCUAAGUAUGGGGAAGAGGAGGGGUCAGUGAGGAUGGGAGGGGUCGUGCAUUAGUGUGGUGCAAGGAUUUGUGGAAUAUUAGAGAGUGAGGUGAAAGUGUAGAUGAUUGUUGGUUUGAUAAUAACAUUCGUAGAGAGGUGGGUAAUGAGAAAGUUUUACCUUUUCGGAAAGAUAAAUGGUUGGAAAGAGUGGCAUUAAAUAGUAGAUUUUUUAGAGGUUAUAUGACCUUGUUUUAGGCAAAUGGUGGGAGUGGCGAUGGCGGCUUUUCAACAACAGACUUCCAAUAAAGCAUAAUAUACUCAGCCAUCAGGGAUCAUAAUUCUUCCACCACACUAUUUAGUGUAUGUUUUGGUAAUUUCAUGAGUGUUACGCCUAUAUACGACACAUUUGUUUAAAGAAUCAACAGUGGCAUAGGCUAGGGUUGAGACUUGGGAUGUUUCCAUCCUGUCGUACUUCUCACUAUUCUCACUCUCUCUUCUCUCUACUUUCUUUUUUAAAAUUUUAAUAUUUAUUUUCAAAAGAAUAAAACAUAAAUGUUUUUUAUUUUUCAAAAAAUAAAUUAAAAAUUAAUAAGCAUUAAACCGCUUGAUUUUAAGAAACUGCUUUUCGCCAGUUCUUUCCGAUUUGAGCCGAUUUCGCGCCAGAUUUCAAAGAUUUGGAUCAACUUCUAUUCAACAUGGGGUGCAAUUUUUAUUUUCUGAGUGUGAAGAGAGGAGAGAGAAAUAAAAAAUAAAAUAUGAUGAUGAGAGAGAAUGACACAUAAAAGAAACGAGAGAGAGGACAAAAGAAAAAACAGAACAGAUGAUCCAAAUUCGAUUUUUAGUGUCUUUAACAUGACCGAUUAGAUUAGACUGGUGACCCCACUGAUUCUCGAUCUGACCAUAACAAUCAAUUAAAUUCUAGGCUUAAAUGCAGUUUUAACCCCUCGAGGUUUACAAUUGCAUGAUUUUGGCCCCCUCAUUUCAAUUGCUUGAUUUUAACCCUAACAUUUCACAAUUGCUCGAUUUUAGCUCCCAAGUUUCAAUUGCUCGAUUUUGGCCACCUAAGUUUACCCCAUUUUGCAUUUGCUAGCCCCGUUGACUUUUUUGAUUAAAAAUUGGUUAUUUGAGAUUUUAAAAUUAAAUAAAUAUUUAAAAACAAAUAAAAAUGUUUUAAAUUUUAAAAAAAUGACAUUGUUUUUU
rnacentral:lncRNA from 1 species